UGGUACCUCUGCAUGUGCUAUUCCACACCAUCCUCUCUCUCACUAUAAAAUAUUCUAAUGGAAAACGAAGCAGAGAACAAUGCAAUUUUCACCCGACUCUGUAAGACCAGCAACCAGAUUGAGCAGCCAAACGCCGGGGAACUGGUCCAGACGUGAGGACUAGAGGUGCUGAGACGCCGCCCCCGCCACCAGGAAAUACACAUUCUGACACGCGGUCAGGACCAGGCCUGUGUUCUGCACGUGUGUGUGGGAAGGCGGCCAGCAGCCUGACCUUCCAGGCAGGACCUCCUGCCGCACAGAGCUCUUCACACACCU